AGUGAACGCUGGCGGUAGGCCUAACACAUGCAAGUCGAACGGCAGCACAGUAAGAGCUUGCUCUUACGGGUGGCGAGUGGCGGACGGGUGAGGAAUACAUCGGAAUCUACUUUUUCGUGGGGGAUAACGUAGGGAAACUUACGCUAAUACCGCAUACGACCUACGGGUGAAAGCAGGGGAUCUUCGGACCUUGCGCGAUUGAAUGAGCCGAUGUCGGAUUAGCUAGUUGGCGGGGUAAAGGCCCACCAAGGCGACGAUCCGUAGCUGGUCUGAGAGGAUGAUCAGCCACACUGGAACUGAGACACGGUCCAGACUCCUACGGGAGGCAGCAGUGGGGAAUAUUAGACAAUGGGCGCAAGCCUGAUCCAGCCAUACCGCGUGGGUGAAGAAGGCCUUCGGGCUGUAAAGCCCUUUUGUUGGGAAAGAAAAGCAGCAGGUUAAUACCCCGCUGUUCUGACGGUACCCAAAGAAUAAGCACCGGCUAACUUCGUG
rnacentral:rRNA from 1 species